UACGGGGGGGGCAAGCGUUGUUCGGAAUUACUGGGCGUAAAGGGCUCGUAGGCGGCCAACUAAGUCAGACGUGAAAUCCCUCGGCUUAACCGGGGAACUGCGUCUGAUACUGGAUGGCUAGAGGUUGGGAGAGGGAUGCGGAAUUCCAGGUGUAGCGGUGAAAUGCGCAGAUAUCAGGAGGAACACCGGUGGCGAAGGCGGGUCUCUGGGCAGUAACUGACGCUGAGGAGCGAAAGCGUGGGGAGCGAACAGG
rnacentral:rRNA from 1 species